UACGUAGGGUGCGAGCGUUUAAUCGGAAUUACUGGGCGUAAAGCGUGCGCAGGCGGUUUUGUAAGCCAGAUGUGAAAUCCCCGGGCUUAACCUGGGAAUGGCAUUUGGGACUGCAAGGCUCGAGUGCGGCAGAGGAGACUGGAAUUCCUGGUGUAGCAGUGAAAUGCGUAGAUAUCAGGAGGAACACCGAUGGCGAAGGCAGGUCUCUGGGCUGACACUGACGCUCAUGCACGAAAGCGUGGGGAGCAAACAGG
rnacentral:rRNA from 1 species